AGGAGUGUAGCUCAACUGGUAGAGCGUCGGUCUCCAAAACCGAAGGUUGGGGGUUCGAUCCCCUCCACUCCUGCCA
rnacentral:tRNA from 1 species